UAAAAUAAAUUUGUUGGUCACACAACCUUAUUUUCUGCAAUGAUCCAAAAAGCUAAAAGGAACCAGGGUGAUACUAUGGCCCAAUACUAAAUCUACCCCUUAGCCCUUCCCCUUUCCCCUACCCCCCUGUUUCGCGCGUUCACGUGAAGGGGUAGAGGUGUCUCGAUUCUCUUUUGGUUGGAGGGGUAGGGGUAAGGGGAAGGGCCAGAGAGCCCUUUAAAUGAAGAUUUUUCGGGACCACACUUCAAAUGAAGAGGUAUGAAUUAUCUCAGCAACACGGCUGCCUGAGCGAAGAAAAAGACACAUAAAUGUAAGGAUUUUGGGAAUUAAUAAAGAUUUUACGAAAAGUAAUCAUUUGUUUUGUUACAUUCAAUCAUGAGUUCAUAUUAACGGUCAUGUUACUCAAAGAAAUGUUAGCAAAAAAUCGUUGAUAUUUGCUAAUGUCAUAUCAUUAUAGACUGCACGACAGUACCACAACAUAUUGUCUAGUCAGGGUGAUAACCACUGUAGACAUUAAAGGGGGCUAGUCCCCCCAAUAAUUAGAAAUCGUUAAACCAUUUUUGCAAAUAUUGCCAAAUCAAGAGGGGGAGAAGAAAAAGAGAGAGAAAGAGAUGGAAGUUGCGUGUAUGCGCGUCUGUGUGUUUCUCUUUUUAGAGUGAGUUUACUUAAAAACAAUGAUUUUAUCCUCUCACUGCUGGAGAAUACAAUGUAGCGAUUCAGCAUUUAAAAUGAUCUAAUAAACAUUGUGGGGCAAUGUCAACAAGUUUUUCUCCUGGAUGUGUGAGCUGCGCGAUUUCCGUUAUGUGUGUGUGUCAGUAAGCAACGGUAAUUAAAGGCUCUAAUACACACCAGUAUAUGUGUGUAUUGUAGAAGCUAGACGACGUAUUAUAAUGUGUGCUGGAAUAGUAGUGGUGUCCCAAUCCUUAGGGAAAUAUUUUCACCCCAACCCAUGACACUCUGUUUUAAGGGACAAGGGGAAGGGGUAGGCAGAGGGAAAGGGGUAUUAAAUAGAAUUGGGAUUGGUCCUAACUUGCGGGUUGCCGGCCUACAAAAAUACAUCACUGCGGUGCUUUAUGGGAGCUUGUUGACUAACAGAGUACAGUUACUGACCCAAGUAAAAUGGCUCACCUAAUUCUCCCUUCUCCUGUCUUUUUGUCUCCAUUUUCUUUUUUGACCAACGUUUCCGUAUAUCACACACAAUGCAGAGACCGUUUUCUUCUGUAUUACACUCAUUUAACCAGACGAGGGCGGCAGAGAGUUUGAGAUUGGAAGUGGAAACACUGUUGUGUCAGGUGUCAGUUGUUUUGAGAUCCUUGAGUUUGUAAGCUUUUACUGUGUUAUGAGCAUGUCCCUUACUGAAAGGCAGCAUCAACCUCUAGAUUUGUCUUUUUUGGAGAUUCUGUUUUUCUAUCUCACUGAUACUUGACUAUGGAAAUCAUACGCCUGAAUAUUACUAUAUUAAACAAUUCAACUAUUUUGGGACAAUGGAGCUCUUUUUUUCAUGUUUUUUCUUUUCUUUUUUUUUUUACCAGAGACAAAUUGUGGAAAACUGAGCUAAAUUAAAAAGAGAAAGAAAUUAAUAUUCUGAGUGUUGCAGGAUGUAACUGAACAGGAGUAGAAUAUAAAGAUCAAUCCCACACGGAUGUCUUUAAACUAAAGGUAAUAUGUGAACAUCCCAACACAUACACAUUCACAUCAAAUGAUUUACUCCAUCAACAAUUUAUUACGAAAAGGGCAGAGUGAAGGUAGCAGGACAUCUGUUACAUCAGCAAAUGAACCGUUGAGCACUAAGUGUGCUGUGAGGAACUUGCUUAAAACAUGGUGAAGUGAUGGUUUGAAGCACUUUGAGAUAAUUUCUCAUUAUUCCCUAGAGGAGAGAAGUAGAAAGUAUCCAUGGAGACCAAAAGAUGGAGCUGUAAAAUAGGAGGCCAUGUUGUUCUGUGAACAAACUAUACUCCUAUAGCUUAUUCUUCCUCAUGCACUAAUUGAGUCAUGGUUUAUCUGCUCCAUAAUUUGGCUUUUUCCAAGCAAAUCACAAUGCACUUAACUCCAGUAACAUAACAUGCAUGUUUACCAUUAAUUUCAGUUGUAGUUAAGUAUCUUGGUAUGGUACAAUGGCCCCUUUUAACACACUAAAUAUAAAGUAGGGUAAGAUUCAUCUUGAAGGAACAUUUGGAUUUGAUCACUCAAACUACCUACACAGAUAAGCAGUGAUGCAUUUGGUCAUGUCACAUUUGUAGUGGAAAACUAAUGCAUCGAACACAAACGUCAUCCAAAGGGAAAUAAAGAUUAUUUUGUGACCCCACUGAUAGUCUUUAGUUUUUGUCAUGUUUUAAGCAUUAACUCACCUACAUUUGGUCUUUUUUCUCAGACAACAUUGCUUAAUUUCUUACAUAUGGCUUCUCAAGAAAUCUUGCUUUAAGAUUUUUUAGAUAACCAGUAAUGUAUAAUUCAAUUUCAUUAGAAAAAAAAAAUGUAAUUUAAAAACGACAUAACAGUGGAGGUUAUGUGAAACAGGUCCUUCAAAAAAAAUUUGAGAAACCCUGUAAAGAAUGUGAGAGUAGAACAUGAGUAGAAAACAUUUAUCGUUCCACUCUUGUAUUUUUCCCGGUAGUUUGUGAUAAUUUAAUGUAAAGAGGCCACUCAGACAGACUGAAAAUGCACAGUCCGAAUGAACUUCCUCCAGACUAACCAAAACAUCUGAUGUUAGUUAAUUGAAUGUCAUCAGAGCAGACUAAAGUGAUUAAAUUGCAUGAUGUUUUUAAACAUCUCCCAAUGAUUGCCGCAGCUGGUUUAGAUUCCUGCCUCGUUCUGCACAGGCUCAGGUGUGUACUGGUCUCAUCACAUAAAAUAUUCUGCAGGUUUAAUAGUUUUCCACACAGUUGACCUCUGUGUCUCUUUGCAGAAAUCCUAACAAAAUACUGCACUCUUCAUCGGAGAUGAUCGAGCUGGCAGUGCUGACAGAAGCUCGCCGUUCCAGCAUUUUUCUGCUCAAGAACGAGUCCUCCAAAGUCAAUCAGCAAUCAGCUAUCUUCCCUCAGAUAGUCGACUAUGAGGGAAAAACUGUGUCCAUGAUCCUAAAGGACUGCUGCUCAAUCUUAUGGGUGACUGAUCAGUGGGAAACUGAUACUAAUUAUUUCUUGUUUAUAUAUUCCAAAAUUCUAUGGGGUUAUGUGCAAGUGUUGACAAUUGGUCAAUUAUGUUUUACAGUUAAUGAAUAUGACUGGAGUUUUAGGAUUCCAGUGACAAGCAAUUGAAAACAAUCCAUAUUGAUCGAUCGAUUACAAAUUCAGUGUGGAUGAGAUAUCUGAAAACAUGUUAAAUACUCACAGUACCUUAGAUGUUCAUGACGUCUGUGGUGCUUCUCUAUGAAAUUCAGUGUUUUUCUGCAUGCAAAGACAUGAAAAAUCCUGGAGAGAGACAGGGAUGGAAAAUGCAGAUAUAGAAAGAGAAGUUAAAAUCUCCAAAUGUUAAAAAAGCAUCUCCAUAACUAUUGUUUGUUUACUUUAGUGUAAAAUUAAUACCAAUGUCUAUAAGUAGCUGAAAACAAAAAAGACUUUUGCCACUAGGAAACCAUGUAUUAC